UGCAUCGGCCAGGAAUCGAACCCGGGCCGCCCGCGUGGCAGGCAAGCAUUCUACCACUGAACCACCGAUGG
rnacentral:tRNA from 1 species